rnacentral:rRNA from 1 species
UACGUAGGGGGCAAGCGUUGUCCGGAUUUAUUGGGCGUAAAGAGCGUGUAGGCGGCCAGGUAGGUCUGCUGUGAAAACUCGAGGCUUAACCUCGACCUGUCGGCGGAAACCAUCUGGCUAGAGUCCGGAAGAGGAGAAUGGAAUUCCCGGUGUAGCGGUGAAAUGCGCAGAUAUCGGGAAGAACACCCGUGGCGAAGGCGGUUCUCUGGGACGGUACUGACGCUGAGACGCGAAAGCGUGGGGAGCGAACAGG